rnacentral:rRNA from 1 species
CUGGCGGCAAGCUUAACACAUGCAAGUCGAACGGAUUAUUCUUUAUAGCUUGCUAUGAAGAAUAAUUAGUGGCAGACGGGUGAGUAAUGCAUAGGAAUCUACCUAGUAGUAUGGGAUAGCCACUAGAAAUGGUGGGUAAUACUGUAUAAUCCCUGCGGGGGAAAGAUUUAUCGCUAUUAGAUGAGCCUAUGUUAGAUUAGCUAGUUGGUAGGGUAAAGGCCUACCAAGGCGAUGAUCUAUAGCUGGUCUGAGAGGAUGAUCAGCCACACUGGAACUGAGAUACGGUCCAGACUCCUACGGGAGGCAGCAGUGGGGAAUAUUGGACAAUGGGCGCAAGCCUGAUCCAGCUAUGCCGCGUGAGUGAGGAAGGCCUUAGGGUUGUAAAACUCUUUCAGUAGGGAAGAUAAUGACGGUACCUACAGAAGAAGUCCCGGCAAACUCCGUGCCAGCAGCCGCGGUAAUACGGAGGGGGCAAGCGUUGUUCGGAAUUAUUGGGCGUAAAGGGCAUGUAGGCGGUUCGGUAAGUUAAAGGUGAAAUGCCAGGGCUUAACCCUGGAGCUGCUUUUAAUACU